GUGCCCUUCUAAGGCUGCCGCAGUGCUUUAAGAGUCUAACAUAGAAGGUUAAAAGCAAGACUCCAUAAAACUCAGAGAAGAGACUGUAAAACUCCUCUGGAACCUGUCUGGAGUCACAACU
ensembl:snoRNA